GCUGUGUGAUUAGCCUAUCUUUUAUUGUCACCCUUAUCUUUAAUUGUUUUAACCUGAAAAUGUCGUCUCCCUAUGCAGGCAUGCUUUAGACAUGUUAGAUAUCGUAAUAUGAUAGCUGUUAUGGUCGGGUCUUAUCGAACGAACUGGUACUCUAAUUACCAUGAUUACAUGCCUGGGAGAAAUUAUUUGAGGAAUUAUCAUGCCGAAUGUGUCCCUGCUGCGGAGGCAGCUAACAGAAAGGGGAUAUAAUUAAGAUUGCAUUGUGGAUUUGCCCUGUGCCACCUCUAAAUGGCAGAAGAAAACUCAACUCAGCACAACCAGAAACACUUUUCUGAAGAAAAUUCUGCCAAGAGACAGUUGUGAAGGGAAUCGUGUAGAUAAUCUCCAGAAAAGAAAUCACCACUGAUAUUGGGAUGUAUGUAAAAUAUUUUAAUACAAUCAUCAAAGACAAAUUUACCACAGGAAUAAAAAUAAAACUGUCUGGCAUUCAAGGGCCUGCCAUGGUAGAAGCUCUCCUGAAAAAAUAUUCCAUUUAUUGAGAACAUCAUGA